UGGAUUAUUUGGUGCAAUUGAACUGUUACCCAUGGUUGUAUGAUGCUGCUGGAGACUCUAUUAGGACCAAUUUUGUGAUUCAAUGAUGUGGGGAUGAGGAAUUGAAGGAGGCAGAUCUGCUUCCGUUCGAUGCGCCUAUGCGUGGAUUGCUUGGUUCAAUUCAGCCUUGUUGGUUCGAAAUUGGCAGUGACCCAUACGUCCAUUGGAUGCGCCAUGAAGAGAC
rnacentral:lncRNA from 1 species